UACGUAGGGGGCUAGCGUUGCUCGGAAUCACUGGGCGUAAAGCGCACGUAGGCGGCUUUUAAGUCAGGGGUGAAAUCCUGGAGCUCAACUCCAGACUGCCUUUGAUACUGAGAAGCUUGAGUCCGGGAGAGGUGAGUGGGAACUGCGAGUGUAGAGGUGAAAUUCGUAGAUAUUCGGAAGAACACCAGUGGCGAAGGCGACUCACUGGACAUGUAUUGACGCUGAGGUGCGAAAGCGUGGGGAGCAACAGG
rnacentral:rRNA from 1 species